UUUCCCCCAGAGGACGGGAAAAUUAGGAAAGACCGAAAAAUAAACCCACCAGUCUGCGGAGCGCUCUCAUCUGUGCGUCCUGGGCAGAGCGAGAGACUUAGCGGAAUACGGGUAGGAGAACCGGUCUCGGGUUGCCGCCAGGGGAUCCACUGAGUGAGAGGCAGGUCCGACCUAUGGUGGGGGCACUUGGAGUUGAGGAACCACAUCGUCCACUGGACCGGAUUAAUCUUUUAUCCCUCAGGGCUUCUCAGGCCCUGCAUGGAGGAAUCCGGGAGCUGGACAAAGACCAACUGAAACUAGACUUGCCAAAGACGCUAUUUGUGGUCACAGAACCAUAGAGCUGGACAUGACCUUAGGAAGUCAUCUGAGCAAAGACUGUGAUGGGCACUGUAGUAGCUCUAUUGCUCAGACUUGGUUUUUGUUUGACUUUUGCUGCUCUGAACUUUAAUUCCUAAAGACACUGCAUUUUUAAGGAAAAACAAAUAAAAUAUUAGCAGUUAUCAUAAAUAGGUAUUUUAUUGCAUGCUUUUCGUGCAUCUAUUAAGAUGAUCAUAUGGGUAUUCUUCUUUAAUCUGUUAAUGAGAUCAGUUACAUCAAUAAACUUUCUAAUGGUAAA
rnacentral:antisense_RNA from 1 species